CCUCCACGGCCAGGUCCUCCGAGAUUUGACUGAGCUGAAGGAAAAUAUACAUGUUUUAAGACUGAAGAACAGACUGCUGUGGGAAGAGCAGAUUGAAAUCCAAGAGUCCUGUGAGGAGCUGAAGAGGCUCUUGAAGGAGGCUCAUGAGGUCAUCUGUGACCCUUCUGCUGAGCAGCAGCAGGAGCAAGAGAGCCUGGAUGAAAGACUGAAGGACCUGCUGAAGCAGAAGGAGCUGGUCACCCAGCAAGAGGACUUGGCAGAAAAGCUGCAACAUCACUUCAGUGUCUCCGAGAUAAGGUUAGACCAUCACCAAUAUGAGUUUGAACAGGCCACAGCCCAGGAUGAGAGCCUCCUGCAGACAGAGCUGCUGCACCAGGAGCACUAAGUC